rnacentral:misc_RNA from 1 species
AAGUCGUAACAAGGUUUCCGUAGGUGAACCUGCGGAAGGAUCAUUAACACUUUUUAUUAUUUUGUUUUUUUUCUAAAACAAAAUUUAAAACCCCACAAUUUUGGAUGAAUUUAAUUAAUUUAUUUUUUAUUUUAUUUUUUUUUAUUAUAACCCUAUUAUUUGACUAACAUUUUUUUAAUUUAUUUAUUUAAAAUUUAUAAAACAACUCUUAACAACGGAUAUCUUGGCUCUC